GAUGAACGCUGGCGGCGUGCUUAACACAUGCAAGUCGAGCGAAGCAGUUAAGUUGAUUUCUUCGGAUUGAUUCUUGACUGACUGAGCGGCGGACGGGUGAGUAACGCGUGGGUGACCUGCCCCAUACCGGGGGAUAACAGCUGGAAACGGCUGCUAAUACCGCAUAAGCGCACAGAGCUGCAUGGCUCGGUGUGAAAAACUCCGGUGGUAUGGGAUGGGCCCGCGUCUGAUUAGGCAGUUGGCGGGGUAACGGCCCUCCGAACCGACGAUCAGUAGCCGGCCUGAGAGGGCGACCGGCCACAUUGGGACUGAGACACGGCCCAAACUCCUACGGGAGGCAGCAGUGGGGAAUAUUGCACAAUGGGGGAAACCCUGAUGCAGCGACGCCGCGUGAGCGAAGAAGUAUUUCGGUAUGUAAAGCUCUAUCAGCAGGGAAGAUAAUGACGGUAC
rnacentral:rRNA from 1 species